CUCAGACCACUCCCAGACAGUCCUACAAAAAUUCUUGCUUGAUAAGUAAUUGUUUUCGUUUUUUUUUACUUUUUAAUUUAAAUUUAAUCACAGUAAGACGUCUGCCGGGCUGCAGAAAGAUGAGAUGGACAGGGAUUUCACCAUGCUGAGCUCAGCCAUCACAGAGGUGUAGAAGCAAGUGCUGUCCCCAAUGGCGGAAAAUGAAAAAAGGAUGCUGCAGAGAGCGAGGGAUCCUCAGAUGGAGGAGGUCCAUAGGGUCUUAGAGAAGGAAUUGUCCAGGAUGGAGAUAGCUCUGCAAGGAGACCAGAAACAGCUGCUCCAGGCUGUGCAGAAAGACAUGUCUGGAGAACAGUGAGGAAGUGAGGAAACAGCUUCUGGUGGUGGUUCAGUCCAGGAUGGACUAAGUCUGGAGGUGGUUCAGUCCAGGAUGGACUAAGUCUGGAGGUGGUUCAGUCCAGGGUGGACUAAGUCUGGAUGUGUUUCAGUCCAGGGUGGACUAAGUCUGGAGGUGUUUCAGUCCAGGGUGGACAAGGUCUGGAAGGGAAAGGGUCCUUUAUCUUGCAAUGCCUUGGGCGAUAGAUCCAAAAAAGUCACCGUUGUCAUUGGCUGAUGACAUUAACAGAAUGGUCACCUUUGAUACGGUUGGUGAAAAGGUGUGGGUAUCUCCUGUUCGGACUAUAGUCAAGGCGGUCGUACCAGUGGAAACAGUCCAGACCCCCAGUCUCUGACCAAGCCAUGGAGGAAUGGAUGGUGAGAGGUACACAAAGCUUCAG
rnacentral:lncRNA from 1 species